GACUUGGUACUUUAAUUAAAAAGAUUUGAUUUGCAUUCAGACAAUAAGUUUCUAAACUUCUAGGUCA
rnacentral:tRNA from 1 species